UCUCACCCUCCUAUUAUCCUCUUCAGUUACGAAUUAUACAUUGACCUCCUCUUCGGUUACAAAUACAAAAACGAUCUUCUCUAAAGACCCAAUAGUAACUUUAAAUCCGUUUCAAAUGUUCCACCACAUAAACCCUAGGCGAGGUGAUCAUCUUGCCUAGUUUCAAGCGGAACUACUAAAUUUCGGUGAUAGUUUGAUUUUCCCAGCACACAAUGAUCGAGUGGUUUGUCCGGAUUGUGAUGUAUUGUUGCAUAUUUUGGUUCGUAACGGACAUGGAGAAAAGAACCAGCAUCCAUCUCAGACAAGGCAACACAAGGUACUGGAAAUUUGAUGAUCAUGAAAGGGAUUGAAAAAGAGGCUGCGGGGAUGGGAGUAACUUUUAAAGGCAUCGAAUCACCCAACUGUACUGAAUGAUGCUAACAUAAAUCAAUAAAAAUCUUAUAGUUGGAGGAGAUGUUAAAAUCAAAAAUGAAGGUGAUCCAAAUAUUUUUCGUAAGUGCAUGUAAUCGAACAUGGUCUUGCUUGCUGGCUCUUUAUACUAUAUCAUCAAGUUGUUGCAGUUGAGGCGUAUUGAAGGAUAGAGCUUCUUUACUGGAUAUACUAUUUCCCUUCAUUCAAUUCUAUGAUAGGAGGUGAACAUGUCUCUGUUUCAACAAACAUUCUUGGUGGCUCCAGGGCCCACCUACUGGUCUCUCACGUUGGUUAUUAAAAUAACUCCCGACAUCAUGCCACUGAACUCGUUCUAGUUUGUUUCAACUAAAUUAGCAUUAACUUUCUACUUAUUAAGGUUUUUGUGUUUUCUACAAUUUGUUGCAGUGUGGCCAGGAAUUUUACAAACAUAACAAUCACCCUUAACUAAAGUAAUGUUGCAUUCAGUUUUACGAAACAUACCUUUCUUCUGAAGACUACGCUUAGAGUUGUUUGAUGUUCUCUCCUUUUUCAUCUUUGGAAGACUUGUGUUCAUCCACA